AGUGAACGCUGGCGGUAGGCCUAACACAUGCAAGUCGAACGGCCGCACAGUAAGAGCUUGCUCUUACGGGUGGCGAGUGGCGGACGGGUGAGGAAUACAUCGGAAUCUACUUUUUCGUGGGGGAUAACGUAGGGCAACUUCUGCUAUUACCUAAUAUACCCACCGGUUGAAGGCCGGGGUCCUUGGACCUUUUGGCGUUUGAUUAAGCCGAUGUCGGAUUAGCUAGUUGGGGGGGUAAAGGCCCACCAAGGCGACGAUCCGUAGCUGGUCUGAGAGGAUGAUCAGCCACACUGGAACUGAGACACGGUCCAGACUCCUACGGGAGGCAGCAGUGGGGAAUAUUGGACAAUGGGCGCAAGCCUGAUCCAGCCAUACCGCGUGGGUGAAGAAGGCCUUCGGGUUGUAAAGCCCUUUUGUUGGGAAAGAAAAGCAGCAGGUUAAUACCCCGCUGUUCUGACGGUACCCAAAGAAUAAGCACCGGCUAACUUCGUG
rnacentral:rRNA from 1 species